GGGGGAAUAUUGCACAAUGGGCGGCAAGCCUGAUGCAGCGACGCCGCGUGAGCGAAGAAGUAUUUCGGUAUGUAAAGCUCUAUCAGCAGGGAAGAAAAUGACGGUACCUGACUAAGAAGCUCCGGCUAAAUACGUGCCGGCAGCCGCGGUAAUACGUAUGGAGCAAGCGUUAUCCGGAUUUACUGGGUGUAAAGGGAGCGUAGACGGAUUAGCAAGUCUGAUGUGAAAGGCUGGGGCUCAACCCCGGGACUGCAUUGGAAACUGUCAGUCUUGAGUGCCGGAGAGGUAAGCGGAAUUCCUAGUGUAGCGGUGAAAUGCGUAGAUAUUAGGAGGAACACCAGUGGCGAAGGCGGCUUACUGGACGGUAACUGACGUUGAGGCUCGAAAGCGUGGGGAGCAAACAGGAUUAGAUACCCUGGUAGU
rnacentral:rRNA from 1 species